UUGAGAAACAAAGGCCACCUGACAAACACACCAGUGAGACUCCAGGUGGUGGUUUUGGCCUAUGACCAUCAAAUCUGAGUUUCUCCUUUUCCUCCAUUUUAGUGAAACUUGCUUCCAACAUGUUUGUCAUGGGUAACAUUACAGUCUUUGUCCUUUUCAAAAUUGUGUCGCUCUGUUGUUUAAUAAGGUGAAAUGUGAUGGAAAGAUGAAACUGGAAACCAUUUCUCUAAGGGGCUGGCUACUUUUUGAUGAAAAACCUGUGGUCGCUUGUUCGUCCAGGACCCUCCAAGAGUAUCAGCUAGUCUCUUCGAGUCAUGAUCUCCCUACAAGGUGAACCAUUGGGGAAAUACAUGUCACAAAGUGUCAUCUCAGACCACCUGCAGGACACAGCCUCCAGGCUAACUGGGAGCCACGCUGGAUGGGAGGACACUUUGCAUCCUGCUGUGAGCAUCACCUGUGAGCACACAAAUUAUGUAGCCGACCCUGACCCGAAGCAGCACCUGAGAAGUGUCACUGGGACCAGGCAGGAACCUCCACACUAUUUUCCAGAGUGGCUGCACCAGUUUGCAUUCCCACCAGCAGUGCAAGAGGGUUCUCGUUUCUCCAUAUCCUCGCCAACAUCUGUUGUUUCCGGAGUUGUUCAUUUUAGCCACUCUGACAGAUGUGAGGUGGUAGGUAUCUUCUUGUGGUUUUGAUUUGUAUUUCCCUGGUAAUAAGGGCAGAACAGGCUUUUUAUAUUAGCUUUGUUGAGGUAUAAUUUAUAGGCAAUAAAACUCACCAAUUUAAAGUAUACAAUUGGGUGAAUUUUGACAAAUGUAUACAGUUGUGUAACCACCACCACAAUCAUGAUAAAACAUAUUUCUAUCACCCCAAAAUGUUCUUUAUGCUUCUUUGGAACCAAUCACCAUUCCCCUACUUUUGGCCCCUGGAAAGCACAGAUCUGCUUUCUAUCAUUAUAGUUUUGCCUUCUCUAGAAUGUCACAUAAAUAUUAUCAUACAGUAUGUAGCCUUUGCAUUUAGUUUCUUACUUACACUUAGCAUCACACUUUCAGAUGUGUAUGUUUCAGUAGUUCAUUCUUUUUUUCUUUUAUUGCUGAGUAGCAUUCCAUUGUGUUGGUAUACCACAAUCUGCUUAUCCACUCACCUACUGAUGGACAUUUGGGUUGUUUCCAGUUUCUAGAACUGAAAUCCCAAAUGCAACAUAGGGGUGGCAUGGAGUAAGAUUUGGAGACUUGAAGGAAGCACUAAUCUCUGUAUUAAUCCUUAUCUUUUUUGGGGGGAAGACAUAUAUCUACACCACAGAUCAGCAAAUGUAUUCAAUAAAGGGCCAACUGCAAAUAUUUUAGGCUUUGCCAUUGUAGCUAUAGACAAUAUGUAAGCAAAAAAAUGCGGCUGUGUUCCAAUAAAACUUCACUUAGGGAUGCUGAAAUUUGAAUUAUAGAAGUUCCAUGUGUC